rnacentral:tRNA from 2 species
CGGCGAGUAGCGCACUUGGUAGCGCAACUGGUUUGGGACCAGUGGGUCGGAGGUUCGAAUCCUCUCUCGCCGACCA